UUAAACAGCGAACACGAUACGGUCAUUAGGAUGUUUUUAUUGUGUCGGAACGGGCCGUUUCAGUCGUAGAGCUGGAGUACUUUCUGUGUUUUACACAUUGUACAAUGUCUAUAGCGAACUAUUUGUUACACCAAAUCCCAUAACGUUUCAAGAAAUCUAGUUGGCAUUACGCAGUAUUUGUCUACAUUUCUGCUUGGCGACCAUCAUACUGCCUGCAGAAAUACAACUCCCACCAUCCCCUGCGAAGUCGGCUGGUUCUUUCCCUAGUCACCAGUAUGUAGUGCUACGGGGGGGGUGGAGACAUUAUGGCAAUUUGUUAUAAAAAGAGAACAAAGAAUCUGUUAACUCUUUGGGUAUUUUAGUAAGGCCAACGAUUGGCUCCAAUCUGCAUUUACUGUUAUGAAGGCGUCGUGGUUGGGACUGAAUAGAAAUGCGUGCAAUCAGCCAUAGCUAUUUUAGCGCAGUGCUUGUUGCUAGGCGGUUCCUUUUCACAGAUACAAAGGAAAGUCGGGGGCGGAGAAUUGGGGGAAUGGGGAAGAGACAGGUUAUAAAUAAACAGUAUUGUAUUGCAGAUUAAGUAAAACCAGACUGUAAUGUAAGUGAACCAAUAUGUGUAACACGUUUAUAUAUUAAGGCUCAUGGCACACGCUCACACGGAAACUCAGGGAGACUUUGGAAAGUGAAGUGCUCCGGCGAUUUACAUUCUAGCCGGCGGGAGUCAGUUCGGGAGAUUAGUCGCCCCGAAGUAGAGGAGAUUUGUCGCAAGGUGACUAAUCUCCCCGAAUCUGAGCGUGUGCCCUGACCCUAGGGAAAACCAUUUACCCUCCGAAGAAUGUACCGUAUAUACUCGAGUAUAAGCCGAGGUACCUAAUUUUACCUACAAAAACUUGUAAAACGUAUUGACUCGAGUAUAAGCCUAGGGGUGAGAAAUGCAUUCACAGGGUGAACAGCGCAAAGCAGGGUGCCGAGACGCACAUGGGCGAGAGUGCGGCCUCACACCCUGUUAAUGGACACACAAGUUGUAGUGACUAUAGAAUGAGAAUUGAGGGGACAAUGGUGAUAAUGUGACAGUGUUGGCUGGGCUGCUCUGCAGGACUAUACUUUUAUAAGUAAAACUACAGGUCAAGUAGUGGCAAUUAGUAAUGCAGGCACAUGAGCUUGCCCAGUCAGCUUGCAAUCCUGCUACAUGUGUAGCUCAUUAUUAGAGGGAUGCUCUCUCCCAGCAUAUAACCCCACUGACGAGCUCCACUCUCCCAGCUCAUACAGGGCUAAACCUAUACAGGUAAUAUAGACACCUGACAUAUACCGAUACCUCCCAGCAGUUUUUCCGCUUUUCCCGGGACAAUUCUGAUUGUUCUUAACACAGCCGGCAGUAGUCCCGGGUCCCUGAUUAAAAGUCCCGCAGCUCCGUUAGCGUCUAGCGCAUAGACUCCAGCCAGACAGCUAUUCCUGAUGUCACAAAUCUCAUCUCGCGAGGCCGUCACGUCACUCCACACGCAGUGAUGUUCUACAUAGACGAUUCUAUUGAGUGGAAUAAUGGUGGACUUUGUUGCUGUCAUUGUCUCCCAUAACGAUGUUGUACAGCAACAAUUUUCAAUUCCUCAGGGUCCUCAGCAAACUCGACUCCAACAAAAGGUAUUUUCCCGAUGCCCCUGCAGCGCUGCACAACCAUUGACUCAAGUAUAAGCCGAGGUACACCUUCUUCAGCAUAUUUUGGGUGAUGAAAAACUCGUCUUAUACUGAAGUAUAUACGGGUUCUUCUCCAGGCAAUCCCCGAUUGACCACCAUUUGAAGAAGGUGCCGAAUGUCACUUGACAGAGACGUUCCCUGAGACGUUCGCGUGUGCGUGACGUCAUCCACGGCCUGUUAUCAACUUGGAACUAGCAACUACCUUGCAGCCAUGGCUGAACUCGGCAAAGAAUCCAAGCAGCGCCUGCAGAAAGUCUUUCAAUGCGGACAGUUCACCAUCCGCUGGGGCUUUAUCCCAAUGGUCCUGUAUUUAGGAUUUAAAAGAGGAGCAGAUCCAGGAAUGCCAGAGCCCACCAUACUAAAUUUACUUUGGGGGUGAGGAAGUUCCAUGCAAAAAAGAAACGCUCUCAACAGUCACAGCUUUGAAGACGAUGUGGCGACUAUUAUAAAUAGGACUUGUUCAGUAUCAUGAGCACUGGCUAUUUGUCCAUCAAAGAUCUGAUGAACCAUACAAGGCCGUACUGAACUGCAUAACAGAGGAGGAUUCUUGCAAAACAAAUCAAGAGAGAAGCAAUAAUUUCACACAAAAAUUAGCAAUGGAAAAAAACAAAUCUGACUCCACUUCCUGCAGAAACAGAGGGAAAGAUAGAAAAGGUGGCAAGGAAACGGAAGAAAAAGUAGAAAAAGACAGGACUAAAUCUUUGCUCCAAUAACAAAAAGAGGUCUCGACCUAUUGUAUAACAGAGAGGAAGAGAAAUAAAGAAUUAACAUUUUCAUAGCAAAGCAAGAUAGAGACAAAGGUUCCCCCACCUGCAAGGAGAGGGAACAGAAAACUGAACCUUAUUCCACUCACUGAGGAAAAAAGAGGAACAUAAAAGCAAGCCAAAGAGGUGACAAGGAAACAGAGGAGGAAUAAGAAACAUAUUAUCAUAAAGGAAAUAGAAAAACAGCAACAACAAGGACAUAAUUGUGUAAUUGAGGAAAAGAGAAAUGAAACAUAUACUUCCAAAGUACAGCAAAAAGGAACACAAAAGUGAACUCCACUCUCUUCAGACUGAGCAUGAAAGCAAGCCCUCUACUAUCUGCUUAAAGGAGGAAUAUACAAAAAAGUUGACCAGGAAAGAGAGACAAAUUAAAAAACCAGCUGCAUAAAAGAGGAAAAGAGAAAU